AUCUGAUCCGAGAACUGUGUGGCCUGAAUGUGUUUACAAUCCGAGGGACUGAUCCGAGAACUGUGUGGCCUGAAUGUGUUUACAAUCCGAGGGACUUGUGUGUAUCCGAUCCGAGGGACUUGUUGCUUGAGUGUGUAUCCGGACCUGUUGCUUGAGUGUGUAUUAAUGGAUAGUGCUUUCAAUGGUUUAACUAAUUUCUUAUGAGAUUAACUUGUCGCCUGAGUGUGUAUCCGAUCCGAGCCUCAAGUUAAUGAAUAAAUCUACAGAGCUGAUGUUUUACUUAGCUGUCUCUGUCUACAGUAUAUACAGAGAGUAAAUACCAGGCCCACUAUUCAAGGGGCUGGAGUCGAGGCUAACAGUAAAUGAACAAUUGCAAGUAAUAAUGGGGGAACCUGGCUUGUACAAAAUCCUAUAAUCAUUUGUAUCUGAGGUGGAGAAUGGUAUGGCAAAAGCUUGUCAAUUGCUAUACCAUCGGGAAGCAGCAGAUAGAUGUUUGUUGCUGAAGCUACUACAUGUUUGGCCCGAGGGUUGUUGAUAGAUUUCAAUGCACUGGAGAUGUGUCGCUGCUUAUAAAGCCAGCCCAAGGGAGCACUGUCUAGAUGAUCUCACGAUGAAUUGAAAUGAUUUGUGAAAAGCCGACUACCUAAAAUUCAGACUCAAUUGCUUCAGAUUACUGGUAGAUCUAAAGUGCUGCCACAUUAUGCUGUCUACUUAAACGCCUAGGAUUCACUCAAAAGAAGGCUAAACACAUCAAUACAACGCUCUAAAAUAGAUGUAGGUCUUGCACAACCAUUUACAAUUUGAAACUGUGAGCAUCCAGCUCUGACCAUUACUAUAUGUACACAUACCUGAGGUCAAUUAGUGGUACAUUUCUUUUUUUGUUUUUAAACUGAUAUUUCAAGUGAGGUGAAAAGGUUGUACCAUCCCCCCAAAUGAAGCCCUGACUAUAAUUAUACACGCAUGACUGACGAGUAACCCUCCCCCUUGU